rnacentral:lncRNA from 1 species
AGAGCAGGUUAUCUGAUUCUUUUUCUACUUUGUCUUUGUUGCCGCCGGUGGCCGCCGCCACCGGCGGCUCCCUAAAAGUUUCUUUUUCAACUUGUGCCUUUAUGCUUCAAUGGGCAAUCUCUAGUUUCUGUCUCGCAUCUGUCCGAUGUUGUUGUUCGCCACUGCCCGUUGCCACUCGCCACCGGCCGUCCGCCACCGCCGGCCAUCGUCUCCGGCCACCGUCUCCGACCGUCGUCUCCGCCACUUGUGCCACUGAUGCACCAACACCUAGUCCUACCUCUAACAUUUUCGCUAUCUUCUUCUUUAUUCUGAAAGGUCUUCAAGGACAAUUAGUGGUUAACACCAAGAAAUUUCAACACUAAAAUUAUGGGUUGAAACAAUUUCACCAACCCUUUUUUAAAUCUGUCAGAUUUAUUUUUGGGUGCUUUGAUGAAUAAGAGCUCAUUAUGAUCUUCCACUUUCACGGUCUGUCAUUGGCGCGCCAUCAUUUCCGCCGUUCGUCGUGAGGGGGAGUAUGUUUCUAGCCAGGUUUUAGGCUUUCAGACUCCACUAGUCAAUGAUGACAGUCCUUGCAGUUUUGUCGCUUCUAGCCACUACAGGCCCCAUCAGUCAGUGAUGGCAUUCCCUGUAGUUUUGUCGCUUUUAGCCACUACAGGCCCCAUCAGUCAGUGAUGGCAUUCCCUGUAGUUUUGUUGCUUUUAGCCACUACUGGCCCCAUCAGUCAGUGAUGGCAUUCCCUGUAGUUUUGUCGCUUUUAGCCACUAC